rnacentral:snRNA from 1 species
CAGCCUCUGGUCGAUGGAACA